AAGGCAAUGGAGGAGCUGGAGAAGGGCGCGAUCGUGAACCCGGCCUGGGCGAGGGCCGCAUGGUCGGGCACUACUGGUUGAGGAAGUCGGAACUUGUGCGGGUCGGAUUUCCCGUGGGAGCCUCUAGCGCGACGGAGAUGGCCUUCUCUGGAUUCGUUGACUGAAUCUUCAUCGGCUGAUCAUGGCGACUCUUCCUCUUUCAAGUAGGGAUGGAGGGACUUUUAAUGAAUUGGCAUGCCGAGAUGGCCGAGCAAGCUGCGUUGGUUGUUCAGCUCGUCAAGCAAUGUCUGUUUUCCGAUUCGCUCGAGAUCAGGGACUACCUUAAAGCGAUCGAGCACUUGAGCUCUAUGCGACUCGGAUUCAAGGACGUCGAAAUGUUUCUGUUCAGGCCGGAAGUGAAUGUGCUGCUGAACUUGGUCGGCUUGCAUUACUGCAUGCACUGGCUUGAAGUGCCAGCUGAGCAUGUCAUGGAAGCGCUUCAGAAUUGCAAGAUCUAGCAUUGCCUCAGGAAAAUGAGGUCCUCAGUGUGCUUCAUUGAGGUGCCAUUCAUGAGGUCCUUCGCGUCCAAAUUUCUGUAUUCCAUUCUACUAGCACUUCCUGGUCCUUCCCAGAGCGCGCAAGUCUGUGAUCAAUGAUGAUUGAUAUAGACAUCUGGUUGUACCAUAGAAGUAUGAUCAUGGUAUGUACUGGUGUCUAAGAAGAUUGGGGUUUGUGCAUGUUAGUGUGCAUACCUGUUUAGUGUGCAUAUCUGCGGCCUCAUUUUGUCAUGCACGAUUGCCAUCAAACUAGUUUCAUUUUCUAUCAAUAACUGUUGAUUCCUGGUUAGUUUUAGCACAUUCAUCAACUGAGGUAAGAGUGGAACGAUAUACAAUGCCUGCAUCAACCUAUAGAUUUUUUGCUUGUGGCUAUUGGUUAGUCAUUCGUUUUUUCUGUCCCAUGCCAGCAUAUAGAUACUUUGUCUUGCAACAGAAGGCC